AUUGAACGCUGGCGGCAUGCUUUACACAUGCAAGUCGAACGGUAACAGGCCGCAAGGUGCUGACGAGUGGCGAACGGGUGAGUAAUGCAUCGGAACGUGCCCAGUCGUGGGGGAUAACGCAGCGAAAGCUGUGCUAAUACCGCAUACGAUCUGUGGAUGAAAGCGGGGGACCUUCGGGCCUCGCGCGAUUGGAGCGGCCGAUGUCAGAUUAGGUAGUUAGGGGGGUAAAGGCGCACCAAGCCGACGAUCUGUAGCUGGUCUGAGAGGACGACCGGCCACACUGGGACUGAGACACGGCCCAGACUCCUACGGGAGGCAGCAGUGGGGAAUUUUGGACAAUGGGCGCAAGCCUGAUCCAGCAAUGCCGCGUGCAGGAAGAAGGCCUUCGGGUUGUAAACUGCUUUUGUACGGAGCGAAAAGGCUCCCUCUAAUACAGGGGGCUCAUGACGGUACCGUAAGAAUAAGCACCGGCUAACUACGUGCCAGCCGCCGCCGUAAGAC
rnacentral:rRNA from 1 species